rnacentral:rRNA from 1 species
AGUGAACGCUGGCGGUAGGCCUAACACAUGCAAGUCGAACGGCAGCACAGUAAGAGCUUGCUCUUACGGGUGGCGAGUGGCGGACGGGUGAGGAAUACAUCGGAAUCUACUUUUUCGUGGGGGAUAACGUAGGGAAACUUACGCUAAUACCGCAUACGACCUACGGGUGAAAGCAGGGGAUCUUCGGACCUUGCGCGAUUGAAUGAGCCGAUGUCGGAUUAGCUAGUUGGCGGGGUAAAGGCCCACCAAGGCGACGAUCCGUAGCUGGUCUGAGAGGAUGAUCAGUCACACUGGAACUGAGACACGGUCCAGACUCCUACGGGAGGCAGCAGUGGGGAAUAUUGGACAAUGGGCGCAAGCCUGAUCCAGCCAUACCACGUGGGUGAAGAAGGCCUUCGGGUUGUAAAGCCCUUUUGUUGGGAAAGAAAAGCAGCAGGUUAAUACCCCGCUGUUCUGACGGUACCAAAAGAAUAAGCACCGGCUAACUUCGUG